rnacentral:tRNA from 1 species
GCCUGGCUGGCUCAGUUGGUGGAGCAGGCGACUUUUGAUCUUGAGGGCUGUGAGUUCAAGCCCCACGUUGGGUG